rnacentral:lncRNA from 1 species
AACUAUCCGUUGCGAAAUGGCCAUGAUAUUAUUGUUCCAUUUUGUAGACUUUCCCUUACUACUGAAUCGUUUGUUCCAUCUACAAUACGUGAAUGGAAUAAACUUGAUCCAAAAGUUCGCAGUGUCGACUCUAUUUCUAAAUUUCUAAGAAAGAACUAAUAACCGAUAGGCCAUUAUGUAAAAUUGAAACGUUUUAUUUGUACGGCCCAAGGAAAUUGAAUAUCCUCUUAACGCAACUGAGAUGUUCCGCUUCGUUCUUAAACAAUGACCUAUUUAGAGCUAAUAUUCUAAAGGAUCCAUCUUGUCAUUGUGGGUCAGAUACUGAAGAUGUUUACCAUUACUUCUUUGUUUGUCCAAAAUACACAUCAUGUAGAAAAAUCUUAUUUAAUAAUCUUAACUGGCUAUCCGAAAACUUUGUUUUAGAUACAAAACUAUUUACUUGCGGUCACUUAAACUUUCGAACGAUCAAAAUAAAUAUUCAAAUUUUCAAACAUGUUGAAAAUUUCAUAAAAAGGUCAAACAGAUUUCUAAUGCCUUGAUAGGGCGUUAUUGUUACUGGCACGGAACGUUAUCGUCACAGAAUCAUAUGACAAAUUUUCUUUUUUCUCUUUUUUUUUUCUCUCUCUCUCCUCUUUUUUACCUAUGAAAGCUAUUGUUAUAUUCUAUAAACUGUUUGCUUUACAUGCAUGUCCAUUAUAUUAUACUAUUAUUGUAAUUUUAUAUUGUAUUAUGGAGAUCACUUCAUAAGCAUGAUUUACUUGUGUCUAAUCCAUUUUGCUUGAAUUCAGCAAAUAACAUAUGUUUAAACUAAUAGUGUUUCCUUAAACUGCCAAAUUUCAUUACUCUCGAAAUCUAAAUUGCAUGGAUAAUACUCCGACAUAGAUACUCAUAUUGUUCUAAUAAUGUUUAGUAUAGAAAAUGUUCAUGCUGUUCAGUUCUGCAUUCAACACUUUCAACUAAGCUGAUUUUUUUUUCUCAAGAUAACAGCAAAAGAUUAUGAAAAUUGUUAAAAAUGGAUAUCUAGUAGACAUUUACUUGUAAAAUGAGGUUGUUAAAUUUGAUGUAUGUCCUUUUUGUGCUUGUUUGCUGCAUUUGUUUGUUUUAUAGUGAUUAAAAGGGGGACGAAAGAUACCAGAGGGACAGUCAAACUCAUAAAAAAAAAAACUGACAACGCCAUGGCUAAAAAUGAAAAAAGACAAACAGACAAACAAUAGUACACAUGACACAACAUAGAAAACUAAAGAAUAAGCAACACGAACCCCACCAAAAACUAGAGGUGAUCUC